GUGCCUACGGGGGGCAGCAGUAGGGAAUCUUCCACAAUGGGCGAAAGCCUGAUGGAGCAACGCCGCGUGGGUGAAGAAGGUCUUCGGAUCGUAAAACCCUGUUGUUAGAGAAGAAAGUGCGUGAGAGUAACUGUUCACGUUUCGACGGUAUCUAACCAGAAAGCCACGGCUAACUACGUGCCAGCAGCCGCGGUAAUACGUAGGUGGCAAGCGUUGUCCGGAAUUACUGGGUGUAAAGGGAGCGCAGGCGGGAAGCCA
rnacentral:rRNA from 1 species